rnacentral:misc_RNA from 1 species
CUAACGAUACCACAACCAUAACGACUAUAUAUACUGGCUACUGACAUGGCGGCUUUGAAGGAACUUCGACGACUACGAGACGAGGAAAGGACGCUGGUGAACAUAGCUUCCAAAGUCAGUGACCAACUCAACCGCCUGAAGGUGGAGGAGCUCGCCCUAGUUAGUAUGAUACGACAGAGUGCUAGCCAGGUACAGUGUACUGAAGAGGAGGAAAAUAACAAUAGUAACACAGCCAUGGGUCAAGUACCACACCAAACUCUGAAGGCGGAGGUCGACACAGAUGAAUUGUACGAGAAUAAACCCACAGAGUUACUUCCCUUGGAUCUGUCCGUUAACCCUACAGGAGUUAAACAACUUGAUGAGGAAGAAGAGGAGGAGGACGAGGAAGAUUAGGAUGUCAUGGAUACCAACGGUUACAAGAGAGGUCACACAAAAAGUCCUCAAGUCACGAGUCAGUCUGCCUAGGCCUGGAUCAGCAGGACUGGAUUGCUGGUGUGAGGUCACAGGAGAGGUCACACAAAAACCCUCCAGUCACGAGGCAGCCUGUCUAGGCCUGGAUCAGCAGGACUGGAUUGCUUGUGUGAGGUCACAGGUCUUGACUGCAAUGUGACUUCCUGUGUGAGGUCAGAGGUCUUGACUGCAAUGUGACUUCCUGUGUGAGGUCACAAGUCUUGACUGCAAUGUGACUUCCUGUGUGAGGUCACAAGUCUUGACUGCAAUGUGACUUCCUGUGUGAGGUUACAGGUCUUGACUUCAAUGUUACUUCCUGCGUGAGGUCAUAGGCCUUGACUGCAAUGUUACUUCCUGCAUGAGGUCAAAGGUCUUGACUGCAAUGUGACUUCCUGUGUGAGGUCACAAGUCUUGACUGCAAUGUGACUUCCUGUGUGAGGUCACAAGUCUUGACUGCAAUGUGACUUCCUGCGUGAGGUCAUAGGUCUGGACUGCAAUGUUACUUCCUGCGUGAGGUCAUAGGUCUUGACUGCAAUGUUACUUCCUGCGUGAGGUCAAAGGUCUUGACUGCAAUGUUACUUCCUGCGUGAGGUCAAAGGUCUUGACUGCAAUGUGACUUCCUGUGUGAGGUCACAAGUCUUGACUGCAAUGUGACUUCCUGUGUGAGGUUACAGGUCUUGACAGCAAUGUGACUUUCUGUGUGAGGUCAAAGGGCUUGACUGCAAUGUGACUUCCUGCGUGAGGUCAUAGGUCUGGACUGCAAUGUUACUUC